rnacentral:tRNA from 1 species
GGGGGUAUAGCUCAGUGGUAGAGUGUCUGACUGCAGAUAAAAUGGUCCUUAGUUUAAAUCCAAGUGCCCCCU